CCUUCAUCCUACUCAGAAAGUUAAAAAUAAAUUAGUAUUUUGGUACUGGGAUGCUUAUAAAAACAACCUUCUUCAAUGCAAUCCAUAAACUCUCUCCGGUGAAUAACUUGCUGAGUGCUAAGGGGAGCUCCUGAUGCAGUUUUCAUCCAUCUAUUCUGCUGCCGCCUUCUGCAUCUCUGCCAAACCUGGCCCAGAGUAAGUGCUAUGAAGAGGGGAAAGAGCAGUUUUCUGUUUGUGUAACUGGUGUCGGAUUUGACUGGGGAAGGAAAUGCUAAUGACACUACGAAAGCACGGUCUGUGCUCUCUGAUAGUUUGUGUGCAGGGAUUAUCCGAGCUGCGCCAGGUUUAUGCACAGCAUGAUUACGCUGGAAGUACUUUGCAAAAUUCAGGGAAACGUUCGGGGGAAGGACCAUCUCUGGAAGAUUUUGCUUGAAGGUUGGAAAACACAAUCUGCCCAAUGUCUUUCUUGCCUGGCCAUCCUUUGGGAGGGUGACAUUGUACUGAGCUGCAAGAGAAGGGAAUAUGCUCAGUUCCUUUCAAGCAGGGAAACGGAGCCUUGAAGAGCUUUAUGGCAGCAGGGUGUGGGGUAAUACCAGAGCCAACAGCUGAUGCACACAAGGGAAGGCUCUGUAUCGCAAAUGCACCUGCAAACACAUGCACUGGAGCCAGGGAGACCUCAGGACAGGCUCUGGGAGAAAAGACCCAUCUCCUGCAGAGCCCUCGGUGGGUCACACCCCUCAUCUCUUGGUUGAACUGAUUUGAGUACUUGGAGCUGGCAAAACAGCUGUUUCCAAGGAAAUGAAGAUAGCUGAGGAGCUGGUAUGAACGUUACAAGUAAAUGAAGAUAUCAAGUACAUCUGACUGUUGGAACAGUAGGAAAUGAUUAAUGACCCUUUAACACAUUAAAAAACAGGUCUGCCAACAUAUAGCUAUUUCUGUUGUCACAUAGUAACACUUUAAAUUCCUAUAAAUGUGGCCACGGUGGAGUUGGCAUGUGUAAAAAUCUUUCUUCUUAGCCAUCAAGGCUUUACAGAUGGAUUUCUCUUGCUAGUUUUUCCUCACGACGCUUGGCGAAGGCUGGCUGUAGGAAGAUACCCCCUUUCUCUUUUUUUUUUUUUUCCCGAGAAGAACAAUUCAGUUUAGAUAGGCCUUUGCACCGUAUUACUUGCCUGGCUUCGUUGUUGUUUCUCUCUGUGUGCCAAGGGAAAGAAGCGAUGUAUCCUCCCUGGCCUGAUCCGUGCUGUGGGAUGCCGCGGUCCCCAGAGCGACGCGGUGGACACCACCCUGCGGUGCAGCGAGGGGCUGAUCCCCAUCUCAGCAUCCCCAGCUCCUGCAAAGCCGCAGGGCUCCCACACUCGCACUCUCUGCCAAGACAUUUAAUAAGGAAAACCUUCACGGGCUCCUGAGCACAAAACCAAUCCAGUGCUGACGACGGGUCUGAGACCUCAGAAGAUGGAGCUGCAGAAUCCGUUGGAAGGACUGGCGAUUAAUGUGUAUUUCUUCGCCGUCAGGUGAACAAGGAAACUUUAACAGUGUCGAAAGUUAGAGCGUUGCACCAGCGAGGGCCCUCAGGGGUCAGCGAAUCCCAUCCCCUGCAGCCAUAAGCAAGCACAUCAUAAAACCCCUUUAUAGAUGGAACAGUCUUUAUAUUAAAACUACCUAUUUGCAAAGCUGAAUCAGAAGUGGGUCCAGCCCAGGAUGCUUGUAAACAUAUUUCUCAUUUCCAGAGUAAAUCCACUUUGGGCAAUAAUAACAAUUUUUGCCCCUUGUACUGGCUUCUCAAUGUUUUCUCACAGUCCCCACUGUUGGCCAAGAUCUCACACGCACUUGGAAAAAAUAUAAGCACUUGGUGUAGGCAAUGGAGCACAAGUUAGAUUUCUGGUGGAUUUUUUUUUUUUUAAACUUCAUUGAGUAAAAAAACCCUACCAUAUUUAAUAAGUGUGUAGCCUCACUCCCUUCCAUUUCUAGAUUGCCUUAAGGUGUAGCCUCAGGAAAAAUACAUUACAGACUCAAGCCCUGAGCUGAUGAAUGCUACUCUUAUGGCAGUAAGUUCAAGAUCUGAAACAAACUCUUAAGAGUUAUCGCUAGCUGGAGACAGCAGCAGGUAAUGGGAAGCAUUCCAGGGGAUUGCUGCUGAAAACCUCUUUCUAGCAGCUGAGGAUCCACAAACCCCCACAGUACAGGUUUUGACAUCAAGACACCCUCAGCUGGGAAAGAAAAUACAACAUUAGUCAGGGCUUCAACAGCCCUUCAAUAUGUCAUCGGUUUUAUUGGGACUAAAUCUCAGUCAGGCAGGUCACUCUCCUGUAUUCUCAUCCGACGCUGUAUUUUGCUUUAACUGGUUUAUCAGAAGAAUCAGUCUUGCUGGUAUCAUAAGAGUUCUGGUAACUCUGGAAGGAAUUUCUGCUUCUGGCUGGUAGAAAAAGAAGAAUGCAGAAGUUUUAAAUCAGUUCACACAAGGACACCUUAAACUCUGCCCAGUAAAAGCUUCACAACAUAAUUUGUCUGUCUUUCCUGGGAAGUUUUAUUAUAAAUACUUAGUAGGAGACGUCGACACCGAAAUGUCAAAUUUUCUGGUCAAAAAAUGUGUGUCGUCUUCUCUUAUCUAGGUUUUAUUUAGAAAAAUGCAUGCAGGAGUUUCUGACAUACCAGAUCCAGCCUCAGUUGGUGACAAUAGUAGGUAAUUGCCAGUAAACCACUUAGUGCAUUUUAAUAAUGUCUGAAGAGCUUCCCAAAUCCUCAGCCACGUCUCUCCCUAACAUAAACAUUUUCAAUAUUUAAUUUGAGUGAUGCCAAGGAAGACUGCUGUCCUCUUCUUGCCAGCCAAAAAAUCGUGAACAGGUCUCGCAAGCGCUGGGGCAAACAGCAGUAACGACCUGCCUCGAUGGCAAGGGAGGAUGGCUGUUGUGAUCAUCCACUGUCAGCUCUGCUAUCACAGCCAGAGAGGUGCAAAGAGCUGGAUUUUGAAUCCACUUUAGACGGGUGGUUUCUCCCCCCCCCCCCCAUAGCUCUGUACUGUAGCAAAUGAGCUUCAUCCCUGUUUCAGCCAGCAUAAGCUGGUGUGGCUUCAGUGAUUACAUAUUUCAUAGGCCGUUGAUUGAAGUGCUCUUACAGUCCUUUCCCCUCCUGAAUGAAUGUUUAUGCCCUGGAGACUUCUUCAAAGGACCCAGGGACAAAGGUUUCAACUUAAGAAAACAUUUGUGCAGGUCCACAUAGGCAGCCUUGCUCUGCACAGCAGGUAAGCACGUACUUAAGCACGUUAGAGAUUAUGGCGUGAAAACACACAGAGUUAUAUACAUGCCUGAGUGUGCAGCUGGCUAGGGACAGACUGUUCUAAAAUCAAUUAGAAAAUGAUGCAGGAUGCCCAUGUCUGUAUCUUGGCACUUAUUUUAUUUUCUUUCCAUUUUUUUCUCUUCUGUUUAUGCGAGUAAUCCAUUAAAUAACAAUA